rnacentral:rRNA from 1 species
UGCAUCUGAAAUCAAGCAGGAUCACCC